rnacentral:misc_RNA from 1 species
CAAGUGCACCCUACCCCCUUCACACACACGCACACACAGAGGCCUCGCCGUCUCACGACUCGCGUCAUGUUUCGUACAUGGAUGAAUCCCGAAGACCUUGCUUCUCUCGAUCGAGCCAUAGAGCGCACCAUCACGCAUCAGCUGAGCAGCAGCUUUGCCCAGCCGCGGACAAGAAGCACAUCUUAUGCACAUCCGGCCCCCGAGGGGCAUCCGACACAGUCGUCGUCUGACGUCCCAGCUCCGUUGCCCAGCUCGCUGAGCGGCGACAACGCGCCGCCACAUUUCUUCCCUUACAAUCACCCCAGCCGCAUGCCGGCUGCUCGAAAAGAGCCCCACACGCCAGCGGGAGGGCCACACUUGGCAACUCCGCACGGGCAGCUCGAUCGAACCCCUCGCCGUGGCAACAUGGGCAAGGCUGCUGCCAACGUGGCGAACAAGCUCUCCCCUCACCCGGCGCGUCGCGAUGACGGAAAGGCGAUGGAUGGGCGGCACCCACGGUCGCCGCACAACGGGCGCAGUGACGUGUGCUCAAGCCGAACCCAUGGCGCACCGCGGCCACAAGCGAACCGUCACCACGGUAGCCGUCGCCGACGCAGCAGUGAUUCUAGCGCUGAUGACGAGGAUGGCCACCGUAGCGUUGGCUCCGGCGCGCGCCGCCCUCGCACAGAGACCGGCUCGGUGCUCGUGGCAGCAGCCUUGGGCCCUUCGCCCGUCUUGUCAUCCUCGCUGGGGAUCUCAUGUGAAAUUGUCCAGUCGCUGAUACCCCCCUCCUCUCUCGCCAGAUGCAUCCUUGCCUUCGACGCGAAGCUGAUCGAACUCCUCUACUGUCUCUCCCCUACGUCCGAGGAUCGCGAGACGAAGCUGCGCGUGUUCGAUGACAUCCGCACGACGAUGCAGCGAGCCGGCAUGGAUAUCCAGAUCUACGGCAGCCUCUGCACUGGGCUCGUGAUACCGGCAAGUGACGUGGACUGCGUCCUCAUGCGCAGCGGCGAUGAGCAGAUCGCUAGUGCCAUGUCAGCGAACUUGUCAUGCGCGAUGCUUACAAUCGCCUCCGCGGCCACCGGCUCCGUGCCUCCGAAGAGUCUCAAGGGGCCCCUCUCGACGGCUGUUCGGAUCGUGGCGGAGCGCAUGCGGAAGAGCCAGAGCUUCAUCCACGUAACCUCGAUUGCCCACGCGAAGGUGCCAAUAGUGAAGUGCCGCCACCGCCGCGAUGACGUAAAGGUGGAUCUGUCGUUCGAACAGAGCGGCUGCGUGUCCUCCAACUACCUGUGCGAGCUGCUCUGCGCGCCAGGCAACGAGAUGGCGCGACCGUUGAUCGUACUCGUGAAGGCACUGGUGAACAACUGCGGCCUCGACGAACCGAGCAUGGGCGGCCUCGGCUCCUUCCCGAUCUCGCUGCUCGUUCUCUGGUACCUGCAGCAGUGCGUGCGCACCCGCUUCUCGGCGGAGCUGCAGCGGAGCAUUGGCGCCCUUCUUGCCGGCUUCCUCAAGUACUACGGUACCGAGUUUGACUUCCGCCGCCUCGGCAUCGACUACGUGCAGCAGAAGACGUUCACCAAGCCACCGGCCGAUGAGCUCUACAUUGUGAACCCCAUCCGCCCCGAGACAAACUGCGCAAAGGCGGCUACCCUCUUCGCCACGCGCGUCAUGCCGCUCUUCCAGCGAGCCUCGGCCACAUUUGUGGGCCUCCUCGACGCCAACGCCUCCCCAGCGACAAUGGAGUCCCAACUGCUUCACUACUUUGCCAAGGCCACGUCGGAUGUGCGGAACUGGCGGGACGUGUCGCGGCGGGCGGCGAGGGAGCCGCAUCUCGUGCAAAACAUGUGGGACGCAGAAACGAACAUGUACGUUGGGGGUGUGCUGUGAUGAUGCAGCCGAGGUAGACUGGAAAAGCUCCACGGCGAGUAAAAGCUCCUGCAGACACCCACAACUCUCGGCGCAGGUGGCGAAGACCACGGCGACCGAUGACGCUGGCGGCAAGUGUGUGUCUGUGUGCGAGUGCCAUCAAACACCCCCGCGGGUGUGCUUCACGUGCGCGCCCAUGGCGUGGUGAUGGGCUCCUAAUAUGGUGAGGGAGGUCUCACAGCAGAUCCCGCGCGCCUGGAAGCAGGAGCGGGCGGUGGGGGUAAAGCGUAGUGACUUUCGACCUUUUCACUCGCACCCAUAAAACCUCCCUUUGCCCUUUCUCUGCCUGCCCCACUCCCUCACCCCUGUCGAUGUACCCCCCUCUCCCCCGCCAAG